rnacentral:rRNA from 1 species
AAAGGUGAAAAGCACCCCGGGAGGGGAGUGAAAUAGAACCUGAAACCGUGUGCCUACAAACAGUCGGAGCCCUAUCCAAAGGGUGACGGCGUACCUUUUGCAGAAUGAGCUGGCGAGUUACCGUACGCGGCAAGGUUAAGGCACUCCGUGCCGGAGCCGCAGGGAAACCGAGUCCGAAUAGGGCGUUUAGUCGCGUGCGGUAGACCCGAAACCGCGCGAUCUACCCAUGGCCAGGGUGAAGCGGGGGUAAGACCUCGUGGAGGCCCGAACCGGUGUCGGUUGAAGACGGCUCGGAUGAGCUGUGGGUAGUGUGGUGAAAUGCCAAUCGAGCGCGGAGAUAGCUGGUUCUCCCCGAAAUGCAUUUAGGUGCAGCGUUGCGUGUUUUCUGCCGCAGGUAGAGCACUGGAUGGGCUAGGGGCCUCACCAGGUUACCAAACCCAACCAAACUCCGAAUGGCGGCAGAUGAAGCGCAGCAGUGAGACUGUGGGGGAUAAGCUUCACAGUCGAGAGGGAAACAGCCCAGACCGCCCGCUAAGGUCCCCAAAUGCACGCUAAGUGUGAAAGGAUGUGGAGUCACAUAGACAACCAGGAGGUUGGCUUAGAAGCAGCCAUCCUUUAAACAGUGCGUAACAGCUGACUGGUCGACGUGGCUCUGCGCCGAUAAUGUAAGGGGGCUCAAGCGUGCUACCGAAGCGGCGGGUUCUCCUGAUACUCAGGAGAGCGGUAGGGGAGCGUUCUGCACGCGGUGAAGCCAGAGCGGAAGCACUGGUGGAGCGUGCAGAAGUGCGAAUGCCAGCAUGAGUAGCGAGAAGAUGGGUGAGAAUCCCAUCCGCCGAAAGCCUAAGGGUUCUCAAGGAAGGCUCGUCCUCUUGAGGUCAGUCGGGCCUAAGCCGAGGGCAAUUGCCGUAGGCGAUGGACACACGGUUGAUAUUCCGUGACCAGGCAGGCGCGUUUGUACGAUGGGGUGACGCCGGGGAAAGCUCCAAGCGCGGGGUUGGUUGACCGCGUUCCCUGGCUGGAGGUGUGCGGUAGGCAAAUCCGCCGCACGUUCAGCCUCUGACCAGGGACGAGCCGCGGCUACGGCCAAGGCGAAGUGGGGCGGACUCCGGACGAGAAAAACCUCUAAGGAGUGCCUGUCCUGCCCGUACCGCAAACCGACACAGGUAGGCGAGUAGAGGAUACUCAGGCGCGCGAGAGAACUCCCGUUAAGGAACUAGGCAAAAUGGCCCCGUAACUUCGGGAGAAGGGGCGCCACCGCAAGGUGGCCGCAGUGAAAUGGCCCAGGCGACUGUUUACCAAAAACACAGCUCUCUGCGAAGCCGAAAGGCGACGUAUAGGGGGUGACACCUGCCCAAUGCCCGUCGGUUAAGGGGAGGGGUUCGGCGUAAGCCAAAGCCCCAAACCGAAGCCCGGGUGAAUGGCGGCCGUAACUAUAACGGUCCUAAGGUAGCGAAAUUCCUAGUCGGGUAAGCCUGGACUUGCCCCGCUGACGCCGUAAGGCGCAGCGCUAAACCGGCUCAUAUCGGGGAAGCCCUCGCCCAAAAGGGCAGGGUAAUCCCGAGGGAAGUUCCCAAACAGGGAACCCCGUAACGACUGACCCGAAAGGGGAGGCGCGCCCUGAACGGGUGCGCAAAAUGCCGGUUCCUCGCCCCUUGCCUCGGCAAGGAAGUGGGGCCUAUGGAGACGCGCAAUGACGCCAGACACGCACGAACUGGACGCCUGGUACGUGACAGGCUUGAGCGAAGGUGAAGCCUGCUUCCAUGUAACCUUCACCCUGCGCAAACGACUGAAGGUGGGCAUCGAAACGCGCCCGUCCUUUAGCCUGUCACUGAACCAGAAAGACCUGCAUCUGCUGCAAAGCGUGCAGAAGUUCUUCGGAUGUGGCGGUAUCCGCUACAGCCGAGCCGACCGAACCUACAAAUACGAAGUUCGGUCUAUCCGCGACCUGAUGCGGAAAAUCAUCCCGCAUUUCGAGCGGUAUCCGCUACAGGGCGCAAAGCGCGAAGACUUCGAACGCUUUGUGAGCAUCUGCAAAAAGGUGCACGCAAACCUGCACCUGAACCGUGAACAUCUGCGCGAGAUUAUCGACCUCGCGUAUGCCAUGAACAGUUCGGGCGUGCGCAAGCGUAGCAAACGCGAUCUCCUAAGGGUACUCGGCGAGGAAAAGGGAUAGUCUACCCCCUCUGGAAACAGAGGAUGUGGUGAAGUUCCGACCCGCACGAAUGGUGUAACGACCUGGGCGCUGUCUCAACGGGAGACUCGGUGAAAUUGUAGCACCGGUGAAGAUGCCGGUUACCCACCGCAGGACGGAAAGACCCCGUGGAGCUUUACUACACCCUGGUAUUGCGUUCUGGAGUAGUCUGUAGAGCGUAGGUGGGAGCCGCAAGGCGCCAAUGGAACACCACCCUGACUAUUCUGGGACGCUAACCCGAGCCGUUAUCCGGCGAGGAGACAGUAUCAGGCGGGUAGUUUGACUGGGGCGGUCGCCUCCUAAAAGGUAACGGAGGCGCCCAAAGCUUCCCUCAGCGUGGUCGGAAAUCACGCGUCGAGUGUAAGGGCAUAAGGGAGGCUGACUGUGAGACCGACUGGUCGAGCAGGGGCGAAAGCCGGGCCUAAUGACCCUCUGGUGGCGUGUGGACGCGCCAGGGUUCACCGGAUAAAAGCUACCCCGGGGAUAACAGGCUGAUCUUGCCCAAGCGCUCACAGCGACGGCAAGGUUUGGCACCUCGAUGUCGGCUCGUCGCAUCCUGGGGCUGGAGCAGGUCCCAAGGGUUAGGCUGUUCGCCUAUUAAAGCGGUACGCGAGCUGGGUUCAGAACGUCGUGAGACAGUUCGGUCCCUAUCCGCGGUGGGCGCAGGAGGUCUGAGGGGGGCUGUCCCUAGUACGAGAGGACCGGGACGGACCGACCUCUGGUGUACCAGUUGUCCCGCCAGGGGCAGACGCUGGGUAGCUAUGUCGGGUAGUGAUAAGCGCUGAAAGCAUCUAAGUGCGAAGCACGCCCCAAGAUGAGACCUCCCACGGGGAUAACCCGGUAAGGACCCCGGAAGAGAACCGGGUGGAUAGGCCGCAGGUGUAAGCACGGCAACGUGUUCAGCCUAGCGGUACUAAUAGUCCGAGGGCUUGACCA